rnacentral:rRNA from 1 species
AGGUACCGAGUGGCGAACGGGUGAGUCACACGUGUGUAAUCUGCCCUGCACUUCGGGAUAAGCCUGGGAAACUGGGUCUAUUACCGAAUAGGACCAUUUAGCGCAUGCUUUAUGGUGGAAAGCUUUUGCGGUGUGGGAUGGGCCCGCGGCCUAUCAGCUUGUUGGUGGGGUGACGGCCUACCAAGGCGACGACGGGUAGCCGGCCUGAGAGGGUGUCCGGCCACACUGGGACUGAGAUACGGCCCAGACUCCUACGGGAGGCAGCAGUGGGGAAUACUGCACAAUGGGCGCAAGCCUGAUGCAGCGACGCCGCGUGGGGGAUGACGGCCUUCGGGUUGUAAACCUCUUUCAGCAGGGACGAAGCGCAAGUGACGGUACCUGCAGAAGAAGCACCGGCCAACUACGUG